rnacentral:rRNA from 1 species
GUGGGGAAUAUUGCGCAAUGGGGGAAACCCUGACGCAGCGACGCCGUGUGAGGGAAGAAGGCUUUCGGGUCGUAAACCUCUGUCAGAAAGGAAGAACCUCCCAAGUCCGAAUAGGGCUUGGGACUGACGGUACUUUCAAAGGAAGCACCGGCUAACUCCGUGCCAGCAGCCGCGGUAAUACGGAGGGUGCAAGCGUUAAUCGGAAUCACUGGGCGUAAAGCGCGCGUAGGCCGCUUUGUAAGUCGGACGUGAAAGCCCUCGGCUCAACCGGGGAACUGCGUUCGAUACUGCGAGGCUUGAGUCCUGGAGAGGGUGGUGGAAUUCCGGGUGUAGGAGUGAAAUCCGUAGAUAUCCGGAGGAACACCGGUGGCGAAGGCGGCCACCUGGACAGGUACUGACGCUGAGGCGCGAAAGCGUGGGGAGCAAACAGGAUUAGAAACCCGUGUAGUCC